rfam:Smittium mucronatum strain ALG-7-W6 scaffold-98, whole genome shotgun sequence.
GCCUUCUUGGCUCAGAUGGCAGAGCGUCUGCCUAGUAAGCAGAAGGUCACCAGUUCGAUUCUGGUAGAAGGCA